UCCGGAUUAGCUCAGCGGUAGAGCAGCGGACUGUUAAUCCGUUGGUCACUGGUUCGAAUCCAGUAUCCGGAG
rnacentral:tRNA from 1 species